rnacentral:rRNA from 1 species
GGAAGGAUCAUUAUUGUAACAAAAAUGUGAUGGGCACGCAAGGGCUGUCGCUGACUYUAAAGGUCGUGCACGCCCGGGUGUGGUCCCCUCGCAUAACAAUCCAUUUCACCCUCUGUGCAUCACCGCGUGGGUUCCCUUCUCGGAGGGGGCUCGCGUUUUCACACACAAACCCCCCUUUUAAAAGUGUAGAAUGACCUCAUGUAUGCGUUAACCCGCGAUCAAUACAACUUUCAACAACGGAUCUCUUGGCUCUCGCAUCGAUGAAGAACGCAGCGAAAUGCGAUACGUAAUGUGAAUUGCAGAAUUCAGUGAAUCAUCGAAUCUUUGAACGCACCUUGCGCCCCUUGGUAUUCCGAGGGGCACACCCGUUUGAGUGUCGUGAAAACCUCAACCUCCUUGGUUUCUUCUGGAGACCAAAGCAGGCUUGGACUUUGGAGGCCUUUGCUGGCACCUCUCUUUUUGAAGGCCAGCUCCUCUUAAACAAAUUAGCAGGGUCCUCUUUGCCGAUCCUCGACGUGUGAUAAGAUGUUUCCAUGUCUUGGUUUCUGGCUCUGUCACUUUUGGGACCUGCUUCUAACCGUCUGGACCUUUGCGUUGAGACAACGUUCGAGCAUGUUGCCUCCCUUCUCGGGAAAGCUCCCUCGACCCCCCGA